rnacentral:rRNA from 1 species
UAACAUGUUUUUUUGUUUAUUUAUUUAAGAUUGGCCCUGCUCAAUGAUUUUUUAAAUAGCCGCGGUAAUUUAACUGUGCAAAGGUAGCAUAAUAAUUAGUCUUUUAAUUGAGGUCUGGAAUGAAUGGGUUGACGAGGAAAUAACUUUAUUUGUUUAAAUUUAUUUAAUUUAAUUUUUAAGUUAAAAAGCUUAAAUUCUUAAUUGGGACGAUAAGACCCUAUAGAUCUUUAUUUUUUUUUUUAAUAAUUUGUUUUAGUAUUAAAGUUAUUUUUUUAAUAAUAAAAAUUUUACUGGGGUGGUAUAUAAAAAUUUAAACUUUAUUUUUUUUUUACUUUUAUUUUUGGUUUAUUUGAUCCUAAAUUUUGGAUUUUUAGAUUAAGAUACCUUAGGGAUAACAGCGUUAUAUAUUUGGAGAGUUCAAAUUGAUAAAUAUGUUUGCGACCUCGAUGUUGGAUUAAAUUUAAUUGUGGGGUAGGUUUUACAAUGUUAGGUCUGUUCAACCUUUAAAAUUUUACAUGACGUU